CUUUCUGGAAGGCCCAGCAUCCAGGACUCUCUCCCUAGUUUGCCUCCACAGGAGACAAAAGGGUGAAACGGCUCUGUAAGAACCAGGUUGAAUAGCUGCUUCCGGAAGCCCCUUGCAGAAAGUCCACAGCUGCUGUCAUGGGUCUCUGGAGAGGGAGGAGCUGUAAGAGGUGAAGAAGAAGUAGGUUGAGAACUUUGUUCUAGCAUGUGCCCCAGGAUAAGGUCAGUGGCAGCAUAGGUUCCAGAGCCUGAGUCCAGACCACAUGACUCCAAAGCCCCUAAAAUGGUCAGUCAGACCAUCCUUUCCUCCUCCAAGCUGGCUAUCUUAGGUAAUUAGAUAUUUUGUGUGGGGGCAGAAAGCUGAUUAAUGCAUAUCACUAGACAUGUUCCUCUGUCCGCAUCUAGCAAGUGAGCACAAAAUCUGCCUUUUAAACUCGACAAGGAGAGUGAACAGAACAACAUAGUGUUGUAAUCUGCUGGCCUGGUCUGUCACCUG